rnacentral:rRNA from 1 species
UAGUCCACGCCGUAAACGAUGGAUACUAGCUGUUCGGGAGUAAUUCUGAGUGGCUAAGCGAAAGUGAUAAGUAUCCCACCUGGGGAGUACGUUCGCAAGAAUGAAACUCAAAGGAAUUGACGGGGGCCCGCACAAGCGGUGGAGCAUGUGGUUUAAUUCGAUGAUACGCGAGGAACCUUACCAGGGCUUAAAUGUAUGUUGACAGACUGAGAGAUCGGUUUUUCUUCGGACAAUAUACAAGGUGCUGCAUGGUUGUCGUCAGCUCGUGCCGUGAGGUGUCAGGUUAAGUCCUAUAACGAGCGCAACCCCUGUUGUUAGUUGCCAGCGAGUCAAGUCGGGAACUCUAGCAAGACUGCCGGUGCAAACCGCGAGGAAGGUGGGGAUGACGUCAAAUCAUCACGGCCCUUACGUCCUGGGCCACACACGUGCUACAAUGGUAGGUACAGAGAGCAGCCACUGCGUGAGCAGGAGCGAAUCUAUAAAACCUAUCUCAGUUCGGAUCGG